CGGACGGGUGAGUAACACGUGGAUAACCUACCUAUAAGACUGGGAUAACUCCGGGAAACCGGAGCUAAUACCGGAUAAUAUAUUGAACCGCAUGGUUCAAUGGUGAAAGACGGUUUUGCUGUCACUUAUAGAUGGAUCCGCGCCGCAUUAGCUAGUUGGUAAGGUAACGGCUUACCAAGGCAACGAUGCGUAGCCGACCUGAGAGGGUGAUCGGCCACACUGGAACUGAGACACGGUCCAGACUCCUACGGGAGGCAGCAGCG
rnacentral:rRNA from 1 species